rnacentral:lncRNA from 1 species
CAAAGCAUCAGAACAGAACUCAGAAAUCAUACUUAGUGAAGCCAAUGGGGUGAGUUGCCGUAAAAACAUAACCCUGUUUGUCCAACCAUACACGAACUUUACAAGAACCAGGAAGUGUGAUGUUAAGAGAUGUGAGCACUGUGGAGCCAAGCAUGAUGCACCAGCCCUGCUUUUGUGUUGAAAGACAAGUUUCUCCUCUGACCAGGCCAACAGAUUCCUGAGAUGACGGAAGUCCAAGAAAUUGGAAUUUCCCCAGCAGUCUUAUGCUGGGAAAGAAGGGGCUGGCAGCCGUGUGCCUGCCAGAGUUUGUCUCCAGGAAAAAGAUUCUGCACAGAGUUUGCCGACGAGUCAGACGGACCACCUUGAAGGAGAGACUGGAGCCAAGACAAGGAUGACGGGUAGGAGCCGGUCUUGAUCAGGAUGGCUUACUAGGCACACUUCUUUUCCUUACCUAAACAUAACACCCCCGUCCCAGGUUUGAAUCCCUUAAACAGCUGGAAGCAGGAGACGGCCAUUUGG